GUUACAGAGAGCAUCAAUGGACAGUAGAGCUACUUUGUAGCAGCCAGCAGAGAAAGAGCUUCUUUCUCCUGGAAGCCAUAGAGGUCUGCAACCUGUAGGUGUUCCUCCACAUGUUCGUGUCCCCAUCCCAGUUGGUUCUGCAAAGGUUGAACAGCUGUACCUGGACCACUUCACUGCUGCACCUGGUGAGAGGACUCUUAUUUGAUGAGCCUUGAGGUUGAUGCUGCACUCAGUGUGGAACAGUCGGUAGUGAUCUUGAGAAAUUUUGUCAGGAGGUCAGCCAAGUUUUUGCAACUCAUUCUCACCCUGACACUUGGUCUGCUGCUUCCACCCGCCCGCCGCCGAAUCCUUUCUUCCAUGCUGUGUGUCCGUGUGUGUCCUCGUCGUCCUGCC